GUGUGUUUUCAGUUUAUUUAUUCUCAGUGUGUCUUUUUGAAAUCUCAGUGUGUAAUUUUCAAUUCUCAGUGUGUAAUUUUCAAAUCUCAGUGUGUGUUUUUCAUUUUUGUAAUCUCAGUGCGUCUUUAUGAAAUCUCAGUGUGUAAUUGUAAUUCUCAGUGUGUAAAUUUUUCGAAAAAUGGUUUAAACAUAGUUUUGACGAGAACGGC
rnacentral:lncRNA from 1 species